AAUCUUACCUGGACGGGGUCGACGGCUGAUCAAGAAGAGUCGUGGCCUAGGCUAGUGGUCCACAUUGCACUUGGUGGAUGCGUUGGCUUACCAUCUCCCCAAGUGGGAGAGUGGACGUCAUAAUUUAUGAUAGAGAGGUACGCGUCCGCGCGGCUCCUGC
rnacentral:snRNA from 1 species